rnacentral:rRNA from 1 species
UACGUAGGGUGCAAGCGUUGUCCGGAAUUAUUGGGCGUAAAGAGCUCGUAGGCGGCUAGUCACGUCGGAUGUGAAAACCCGAGGCUCAACCUCGGGCCUGCAUUCGAUACGGGCUGGCUAGAGUACUGCAGGGGAGACUGGAAUUCCUGGUGUAGCGGUGAAAUGCGCAGAUAUCAGGAGGAACACCGGCGGCGAAGGCGGGUCUCUGGGCAGUAACUGACGCUGAGGAGCGAAAGCGUGGGGAGCAAACAGG